CACAUUAGUCCUUUUAUAUUUUAUAAAAUUAUAAAAUGAUAAAUGACAUUUUAGCAUUAAAAUUUGAUAACAUUUUAAUCAUUUAAAAGUUAUAAAGAUAUAUGCUGAUGUAAACGGGCCAAUUUACCCGGGUCCACCAAAAUACAAAAUAAACAAAAAUUAAACCCGAACCCAAUACAAGCCCAAAUAAAUAAACAAAAAAUCCAAAUGUUAAUAGUCCAUUAAGUGUCCAGUUUACAGGCCCAACACACCAAGACCAAUGAUAAAAUCGGCCCAAAUACAAUAGGCCCAAUGCCCGAAAGCCAAAACCAAGGUAGAAACCCUAGCCUAUGGUUGCGUCGCAGCUAGCCUCCAGCGCCUCUGUACGCUCCAGCACUCCAGUAGUCAAGUCCGCGCCUCCGUACACCUCACGCCAAGGGCCAGCGCAUGCCCCGUACUCUAUACCUGCAAACGAACGAGACAAACAAAGCAGCAGCAAAUAGGAAACAAUGAAAGAAUUGUAUUUUUAUUUUUUGAUUUUCUUUCUUUUCGGCUAUAAAGCCAAGAGUUUUGAUUCUUGUAAGGGGACACGCACAAUAGAUACAUUUUUUGAAAUACAAAACGCAUAAAAAAAUCGAAAGGUGAGAUUCAGAUUUGGUUCUUUUUUUCGAUUUGUUUUCCUCUCCGUUUUCUCGUUUCUCCAGAUUUACAUAUUGCGCAUUUUGAACAUAAAAAUCGAAAAGGAAGAAAAGAGAAGCUUUACCUUUGUAAGUGCGCCAUGGAGAUCUCCAUCCCCUUCGUCGAUAUCGAAGGCGGAGAGAGGACUUCGUGGCUAGAGUCAUCAAACCUUAGAGUCGAGGAAAGAGGGAGCUCCACCGUAGGCUAUUAUCCACCAAUCGUGAUGGUGGAAUAAGGGCCGAACGGCGGGCUGAAUAAGAGCAAUCAUCUAGGGUUUCCAAUUUUCCCUUUAGUUCUGCAGAAAUGUUUUAAUUUUCAAGCUGAUUUUCCCUUUUAAUUGAAGGCAUGAAGCGACGCUGUUUCAGGCAAGAUUCAAUAGCCUUGAAACGACGCCGUGUAGGCUCGCCCAAUCGAAUCCGACUCGAAUACCCUCAAGACCCGUGUGUUUUUGCGGUGAAGGGUUAUUUGCACAUCUAGUCCAUUCCUUUCGCAUUAAUGCUUAAUUAGGCCUAGUCUAGAUUUCUUUAUUUUCUUUAAUCCGCCCUAUAAUUUGUGCACAUUUGUGUUUUGGUCCGCGCUUUAGUGAUGCGUUUUGUGACCUGGAUUAUUUCCAGUUCUAGUCCUUACGCACUUGCGCGCAUGGCAUAUUGGUCCCUAUUGUUAUUAUUGUUUUAUUUUCGAAAUUUUCCUUUGUUUUAGUUUAAUUUUAAUUAAGUCUAUU
rnacentral:lncRNA from 1 species